rnacentral:sRNA from 1 species
UUUUUUUUGUCUGAUUUU